rnacentral:lncRNA from 1 species
GCAGCAGAUUGAGAAAAAAAUGUAUGCAGGAAAUUCCAUUUGAAAAGCUCUGAUUCAAAUAAGUCCAAAGAGAAUGCCUCUCUAUGUACCUAAUGUUGUCCUCGAAUUAGAUAGCAAGCUUUUCUUGCUUGGAGCUCCUGUCAAUUUGAUUAAACUCACGAACACGUGACUAACUCCGCCUCAGUUAAAAAUACUCCCAAGCCCGAGAAUGACUGAGAAGCGUGUGGCUUUGUGUUUGUGAGUAGGUCUUUUGGCAAAGCGAUCACAGCACUAGCUAGAGAUUGAGUACGUUUAAAUUUAAAGCCCUACAACUGAAUUUUACAGGCGCGGCUCCUUGCAAAGAGAGAUGUAGAAGAAUGCAAAUUCCAUUCCAGAAUCCAGUUCACCCUUCCAGGCACCCCGACUCUAGAAAGACAGCAAAGUUCCCAAACUCAUCUGAAGGCCCUUAACCUACUGUUGUCCCUCUCCUCUAAAAGGAACCGAUUCUUGAAUUUCACUGCAUCCAGGAGCCAAGUUAAGGACUGCAAACACCGUCUCAUUUUCAGUCCGGUGAGGCAGGAGCUACCAUCCUGGAUGUGACACACAGGGCUGCCAAAUCUUAUUCUUGUUAAAACCUCUUAUCGACUCUCUGGCCCCUCAGAAGAAAGGGCACACUGGUUGGCGUGGCAUCCAAGGCCUCUGUCUUCUGGUCCCUACCUUCUCACUGACUUCAUCCCACAGAGUUUCCCCUGCCUCUUCAGCCUCCACAUUUCCACCCUUUGCUCUGUUUUCGGUUCCUCAAAUGUUCUGUGACCUCCAGAGCCUCUAUUCCUUACACAUAUGGUUUCUUCUGUUUUGUUCCCCUUUCUUGCCCAAUCCUCUGGCGCUCUGUGAGGAGACGCUUCAUGUUCCUGUGAAGAUGUCACCUCCCUCAGCUGACUGUGGUGCCCUUCUUAGGAUUCUGUGGGUGCCAGCACACACCUCCCCAUGGUCCCAGUAUGCUAACCUUAUCUGACUCCCCUGGUUCACAGAAGAAACUAAAAAGUGCUAUGAUUUUUAUAUAGAUGUCCUCCAAGAGCCUCAUGGGCUCGUUAAGAGUGGCUUUUAGAAGAUGAUUGCUUCUAGAUGACUUGCUGUUGGGAGGUGGGGUCUGUUUGGAAGAGGUGGGCCACUGGGAGAAUAAUCCAGAAGGUUUAUUUCCCUUCCUGCCUCCUCCUAUCUCUGCUUCCUGUUCUCUGUGCUGUGAGAAACUUUGCACUGCUAUAUCCCUGCACCACACCGUCCUCCUAGGAGCCAGCUGAUCAAGGACCAAAACCUCUAUGAGUUGUGAGACAAA